rnacentral:miRNA from 1 species
UGAAGACAUCAGGAAAAAAAA